rnacentral:rRNA from 1 species
AUACGUAGGUGACAAGCGUUAUCCGGAUUUACUGGGCGUAAAGGGCGUGUAGGCGGUCUUGCAAGUCAGAAGUGAAAUUCCUGAGCUCAACUCGGGCGCUGCUUCUGAAACUGCAGGACUUGAGUGCUGGAGGGGAUAGCGGAAUUCCUAGUGGAGCGGUAAAAUGCGCAGAUAUUAGGAAGAACACCGGUGGCGAAGGCGGCUAUCUGGACAGUAACUGACGCUGAGGCGCGAAAGCGUGGGGAGCAAACAGGAUUAAAUACCCUGGUAGUCCACGCCGUAAACGAUGGAUACUAGGUGUAGGGGGUAUCGACUCCCUCUGUGCCGCAGUUAACACAAUAAGUAUUCCGCCUGGGGAGUACGGCCGCAAGGUUGAAACUCAAAUGAAUUGACGGGG